rnacentral:lncRNA from 1 species
CUGCAGCUUGUCUUCAUCCACAUGCUUCUUCCGAAGGCCAGAAGAAUGUUCUAGUUUCCUGCACAUGCCUUUGAUUUCAGCAUGUGGCUGAUCUGACCCAUCCCUGCUCCUGACUUAUUAGGCACGUCCUUGGAAGAUUUGGCGCUUCGUCAUGCCCCAGAUCCCAUCUUAAUUUCAGCUGUCUCCAAAGAAGCCACAGAGCAGCCAGUCCAUCUUGAAGCCAUCAGCUUCCAUUGAGGGCCUGGGAGCAUCUGUCUGAAACCAACGUAUUAUUUUUCUGGCUGGCAAAUCAGUAGCAGGACUGUAUGCUGUGCCCACUAACACAAAGUAUUUACGGACAGGAGCAAGUUGUCCUCUGAGAAGCUCCACCCAGCAGCUGACUCAAACAGAUACAGACACCCACAGCCAAACAGUGGAUGGAGCUUGGGGACUCUUAUAGAAGAAAUGGAGGAAGGAUUGAGGCCCCGAAGGGGAUAAGAACUCCGCCACAGGAAGACCAGCAAAGUCAACUAACCUGGACCCUUGGGACUCUCAGAGUCUGAACCACCAACCAAAGAACAUACACGGGCUGGACCUAGGCCUUUCUGCUCAUGUGUAGCAGUCUAGAAUUCUGGGCUCUGCUCCAUGGCUGAUGGG